CUACUAUGUAUGCAAUUUACAUCUUGAUACGUGCUCCUUUUAUAAUACUUUUGGAGUUUGUAUGGAUAGGAUUAAGAGGCAUCCGGAAAUGCAACAAUAGGAAGUUCCAUGUUUCGUGCGAAGGUUGGCCUUUUGUCGCUGCCUCGAAGAAUUGUGGCUACGGAGGCUACUUUUUUGAUUUCAUGUACACCAGAACUCCGUAACAACACAAAGCCAAGAUCUGCGCGAGACAUCGAGGAUGUACACAGCAAAAUAUUAAGAAAUAAAAAGAAAAAGAAAGGAGCGAAUGGUGCCGCGUAACAGCAACCCUCAACGUCAACCACCACCUAUGGCAGCCCCUGGACUAUAUCAAAGGUUCUUCAAAGGCGAUGCUUCCAGGAAGGCAAUGACUCUUGGUACGAAUUAGUUGCCUCAACCCUCAAGGCCCAAGGAAGUACAUAGACAAUUGGAUACCGAUGAUAUUUAUUAUCUUUUAGUUUGCAUCCGACUGUUUUCCUCUGCCUUUUUGACUAGCCAGUUUUUGGGGUGUAGGCUGCUCCAAUUUGUUAAAAGUUUGUGAUAGCAUAUUUCGAAAAUGAAAAUUGUAAGCCCAUCAACUUAUCCCUGAAAUCAUUGCUUAAUGCGAUA